UUGCCGGUGGAAGUCCGGUCCGGGUAGCUGCCAGGAGGCCCGAUAGCAGGCCGGCGGCUUCGUCUGGAAACGGGCGGGGUCGAAGCCCGGCGUCGAAAGCCCUUAGGGUCGCUUCACUUGGUGAGCGGGU
rfam:Streptosporangium roseum DSM 43021, complete genome.